CCAGUAAGUUAAUAGAUACCGGUAAAGCUUAUUACUGAUUAAUACGAUGUUAAAAUGUAUACAAUACAUGUGGUGGAGACAAACUUAGUGAAAACGUUAGUCAGUUUAACUAUAUCAAUGUCAUUCACUAAUGGCCAAUUAACCAUUAAAACAGACAUUGGCAAAAGAGGAUUUGUUCAGCAUAGAGACAAGAGGCUAUACUGACACCCAGCAAGUGUACAGCUCUGUGGUGUAGUGGUUGACACAGCCUUUCAUGUGGGCGACCUGGGUUAGAAUCUAUUGCGGGCCGGCUUGCCUGGUUUCUUGUUUAUAUAAAUUUUUAUACUUAAGGUCUGAUCGAGUUACUCAAAAUAAUACUCAAAUUAAGUCAUGCCUUCUAAGAUAUUAUGUUUGAGAACAAACCCCCCUCUCUUACUUGAAUGGUUUGUCCCAUAUUGUUUCUCACGGCAGCAGCCUGAAAGACGUUCCGUAGCUCACUCAGUUAGCUUGACCCUGCUACACUACACAAGAGAUGGAGAGAAAUGUUUGUAAAAUAUAAAACACAAGUAUAUGAGCGAGGCAGUAAGAAGAAGGAAGGACGAAAAUAGCGUGAGUGUCUAUAACACUAGUAGCUUAGCGGCUGCGGUUACUACUUAUGUCAUAAAUGUGAAUAGCUAAGCGGCUGCGGUUAUUAUUUACUGAAUAUGACGGUUUGACAGUCACAUGAGGAAGCGCUAUCCCUGACCUGGACCAUCACGAAUGGCCACCAGCAUUGUUUCAAUUCCAUCAUGUCGUUCUUUUAUCAUCACUCAUUUAACUGUAAUGACGCCAAUUUUGAUUAUGAUGGCGGUAGCGAAAGUGCUACUGAUCACAAAUUAGCGAUGUUGAUGUUUACCCUCUCCUGGAUCCCCAAAAAACUCUGACAGUUAAACACAGAACAUAAUGUCACAUAGUGAGAAAAGGAAGGUUGGCCUAUAUGAAUGCACUUGAUUGAUCAUGGUGAUUAAGAAACUGUACAAUUGGUGUACAAAGUGGUUUGUGAUUCACUGUAGUCAUAGCUUAUAAAGCAGUAUAUAUAUUUUUUUCAAUAAUUGAUUUACUCUACUGAAAGGGGGAGCAAUGCAAGUGUCUUUGGAAGUGGCAGUUCCAUGCAACAAUAAAGAAAGAAAGUAUGUUCACAUUUUUCAACCAGCCUCUUUCCAGGGCCCCCAAAUCACCCAAAUCGCCACUGUGUGUGUUUGUGUGUGAGUAAUCUCUUUAUAAGGGCGUCCCUCUCUGGCCCUGGCACCCGCCCAUAGAUGCUUAAUGAAUUUGACUGCCAACCUGGACACUAACAAAAAGGGGUCAGACUGGAUUCUGUGUGUGUGUGUUUCUGUUUAUUGGUUGUCUGACCGAAAUAUAAUCUUCCUGGUUUAGAGCAGGGAGAACACUGUUGAAUGUGACAAGUUGGCGCGUGUGCCGCUACCCCACCAAACACCUGCUCACACAGACACGCUGCUGUUUAUAGUUUUACCCAACCUAACCAGACUGGAGUGCCAUGUUGGAUUUGGAACUGGUUGUGCCAUGACUCUGCUUUAUGUUGGUGCACGCAUGUGUGUUCUCAUCCGUCCACAAGCUGUCGGUUGCCUACCUG
ensembl:lncRNA